rnacentral:lncRNA from 1 species
GGUGCCAUACCUACCAUUCUUAACAUAUAAAUGAAUAUAAUAUUGAAUAAUAAUAGUAAAAAAUAAAUUACACUCUAUUAAAUAGAAUUAUAUCACAUAUCAUUAUUGCAAGAGAAAAUUCAAUAAAGAAUAUAGAUCUACUCAUCAAUAUCUGUAUCUUCCUCGAUAUGUAGGUCCUCCUCCGAAUCACAAUAAUCAACUAAUGUAUCAUUUUUUAUCUCAUCCUUAUUUAUGAACUGAUCUUCAUCCUCUGACUCAUCAAGAUUAAAUACAAAAUCAGCUUCAACUUCAGUGGGUGGCAGAUUAGCCCU